rnacentral:rRNA from 1 species
UCGUAGUUGGAUACGAAUAGGCCUUCGGGCAUGCACCUCAGCAGGCUGGCGACGGCUCCCGGGGCGACCCCCUCGGGAGCUGGCUCGCGGCUUGUCAUGUCCCCUCGCGCGGGGAUAGAUCCUCUGCAGACGACUGCCGUGCCCCCGCGGGUCGUGUCCGCGGUCCCGUCGCCUUGUUGCUACGCGUCGCUGAGCGUCACCCGACCUUGGCUAGAUUU